AGAAAAGAGAAAGAGAGUGUGCGGCUGUUGAAAGAAAAUAAGGAGAAACGGAACGAAAACUGACCGGUGGCGGCGUCGAUCACAAGUGCAGAUUUCAUUGUUUCGGAAGCUCAAUGGAAAGGGAAGGCUCAAGUCCAAGAGUAAUUAUUCGAUUGACUAAGGUUCUGAGCCCGAAUUUUCGUGAUACCUUCCAUUCUCUUCGUUUCUGAGGCAUCUUGUGGAGAAUUGUGACAUAGCUGCUUGUCAUGUCAGCGAACUUUCCUACUCCAGUUUAUGAUUUUGUUUUUACUUGAAAGACAACUUCAUUUUUAGACUUGUAUUUUAUUUCAAUUCUAAUAUUUACAUUAGAGGCUUGUGCACGUGACAAUCUGAUUUUGGGGAUUAAAUUAAGUCGAC
rnacentral:lncRNA from 1 species